AGGGUUUGAUUAUGGCUCAGGACGAACGCUGGCGGCGUGCUUAACACAUGCAAGUCGAACGGAGAAUUUACUUCGGUGAAUUCUUAGUGGCGAACGGGUGAGUAACGCGUAGGCAACCUGCCCUCUGGUUGGGGACAACAUUCCGAAAGGGAUGCUAAUACCGAAUGUCCUCGCACCUCCGCAUGGAGGUGCGAGGAAAGAUGGCCUCUACUUGUAAGCUAUCGCCAGAAGAUGGGCCUGCGUCUGAUUAGCUAGUAGGUGGGGUAACGGCUCACCUAGGCGAUGAUCAGUAGCCGGUCUGAGAGGAUGAACGGCCACAUUGGGACUGAGACACGGCCCAA
rnacentral:rRNA from 1 species